rnacentral:lncRNA from 1 species
AGGGAGUGCGAGGUGAGGGUUAGUGUUUCAGUUCCGAGAGAGAGAGAGCAGGGAGUUAAGGGUAGGCUAGAGGCAGCAGAUGAGAGAGGGUCGAUGAGGAAGGAUAAGGGAAAGAGGGAGGAGGUUGGAAUGCAUGAAAGAAAGAAGGGAGUAGAGGGAGCAAAGGGAGAAAGGAGCGAGAUGGGCAGAAAAGGAGAGUGGUAAGGGUAUACAGAGAGUAUGAGGAAGGACAACCGACGAUUAGGCACGAGCCAAAGGGGUAGCCUGGUCCAAGGAUUAGGAAACUAGUGGAUUACAAGCCAGCAGUAGGGUAUAGUUGAGUUCUGGCUGGGUAUUAGGCUUGGGCUUCUUAUUAAACAUUGGACUCGGGCUAGGUAAACCCCUGUUUGGACUCGACCACGAACCUCAUUCGUCUUAGAUUUCAAGGCCGAGUCAAUUUCUAGCUCUACAGCUGAGUCAGCCCUACCCAUGCUUGAGACUUCAAGGGCCGUAAACCCACAAACUACAGAAUAGGAUUGACCAUUUUUUAUUGCAUGCUUGAUUCGAGGCACUCCCUCUUCCAUCCAUGGAUGAAAAUGGAGAUUUUUCUUUGUUCACUCCGAGCAGCCAUAGAGAUUUGAGACUGAGUGGAGGGUGCAUUGGAGAGACCUGAAUCGGCCCUCGAGGUUGUUCCGUGACGAUCAAAGAACUUUGGAAAAGCUUCUAAAAUCUAUGUCUGAGAUUCCUGUCCUAUGGGAGCCGUUGUUCGAGGAGGAUCUGAUCUACGCCGGUCAGAGUCCUGCCGAUUCCUAAGGUAAUCAUCCUCCAAAAGUUUUCCUAUCUUUUCACUUUGUCACGUCAUUUCUGACCUUACGCUCGAUAUUAUAGGUCUCUCCACCAUGAAGACCGACCUCACAUUGAUCUAAUAGAGGAGAAGCUUGAAGAAGAGGUUAGCUAUAGCUGCUGAGGUCGAAGCUCCCCAAAGGAAGAGGUCAAGGGAGGAGUCCUCCUCGGCCCCUGUGGUCGAUGCUACCACCAAGGUUGCCAGCGAGGCCUCAGUUCCUAAAGUUUCUCCUGAGAUGCCCAUAACGGGCGAAGGUUGUAGAGCUUGACCGGUCGAGGUUGCUCAUCUGACCAGAUCAGCUCUUCUAGAGAAGGACGUCCUCACCCAACCCCGUGCUGCCGCCACGCCUCCGCGCCGACCAUCCCCCAAGGCUGGUGCCUCGGCUCAUCAAAUCCGGGCUUGCCCGCUUCGCCAAAGGAGGGCCCCAUAGACCCGGGCCUGCACCUCCGAGACCUACUUUCUGGAUGGGGA